rnacentral:lncRNA from 1 species
CCACCUGUGAAAAGUAAUAUCACACUUCUAUAUACUUCAACCUUAACCCCAUACUUCUUUUAACAUCAACACAAAUUUAACUCAGAUCAAACACUUCAUAACAUCUCAUUAAUCACAAUACAAAAACUUAUACUAAUCAUCCAUAUUUACAUCAAAAUUAAAAUAUUUAAAUAGAUCUAACACCAACCAUAUACAACGUCAUCUCUAAAACUUUAUGUACAUGCCAUAUUUCCAAAAUCAAAUUCAUAUAAAAAGUUACAAAAUAUACCCCAGGAUAGUUAAUGAUGUAACUCUGACUGAGUUGAUGCAGAUCUUGAUCUACUAUUCCUUGAAUCUACAGUUUGCGCGAGGAAAAACAAAUUCUUAGGCGCUAAGCAAAUUGCUUAAUGGUGUUCAACUUUUUUUUUUUUAUAAAUAAAACAUUUAAAUAAUAAUAAACUAUAUAGCAAAUAAUUUGAAAUAAAACUAAAUCAUAUUAUUAUUUCACAUAUAUACAUAUUUUCACUUCAUAGUCUUUUUCUUUUUCUUCGUCAUGUAAAAAGUUUUAUUUUCUCUUAUUACUUUUUUUUUAUUUUUUUAUUUUUAUAUUUCCUUUGGCCCCUAUAAAUUUAAAUGGGACUGUUAAGUCAGAUAAGUGAGCUAUAUCUGUAGGGCACAAAGUGCCAAAUAACUAUAUGGCUCAAAAGCCGAUUCUAUAACUGUAGGGUACCUCAUUGUAACCCAAAAAUCAGUGUAACUGUAGUGCAGUACUGCAAAAUCUGUAUAUGGCAUGCCACACCUUUAAACUAACUCACAAUUCCCA